UACGGAGGGUGCGAGCGUUAUUCGGAAUUACUGGGCGUAAAGCGCGUGCAGGCGGGAAGGUAAGUCUGAUGUGAAAGCCCUGGGCUCAACCCGGGAAGUGCAUUGGAUACUGCUUUUCUUGAGUACUGGAGAGGAAGGGGGAAUUCCCGGUGUAGAGGUGAAAUUCGUAGAGAUCGGGAGGAAUACCAGUGGCGAAGGCGCCCUUCUGGACGGUUACUGACGCUGAGACGCGAAAGCGUGGGGAGCAAACAGG
rnacentral:rRNA from 1 species